GCGGCGGUAGCUCAGGGGUAGAGCACCAGACUGUGGCUCUGGGGGUCGCGGGUUCGAAUCCCGUCCGCCGCC
rnacentral:tRNA from 1 species